GGCCCCUUGGCGGAAUUGGUAGACGCAGCAGACUUAAAAUCUGCUAUCGCAGUGCGGUGUUCCGGUUCGAGUCCGGAAGGGGCCACCA
rnacentral:tRNA from 1 species